ANGGGGUGCAGCAGGCGAGAAAACUUUGCAAUGUGCGAAAGCACGACAAGGUUAAUCCGAGUGAUUUCUGCUAAAGAAAUCUUUUGCCAGUCAUAAAACCACUGGUGAAUAAGGGGUGGGCAAGUUCUGGUGUCAGCCGCCGCGGUAAAACCAGCACCUCAAGUGGUCAGGAUGAUUAUUGGGCCUAAAGCAUCCGUAGCCGGCUUUGUAAGUUUUCGGUUAAAUCCAUGUNNUNAANGCAUGGGCUGCCGAAAAUACUGCAUGGCUAGGGAGUGGGAGAGGUAGACGGUACUCAGUAGGAAGGGGUAAAAUCCUUUGAUCUAUUGAUGACCACCUGUGGCGAAGGCGGUCUACCAGAACACGUUCGACGGUGAGGGAUGAAAGCUGGGGGAGCAAACCGGAUUAGAUACCCGGGUAGUCCCAGCUGUAAACGAUGCAGACUCGAUGAUGCAUUGGCAUAAUNNNCNNUGCAGUGUCGCAGGGAAGCCGUUAAGUCUGCCGCCUGGGAAGUACGUACGCAAGUAUGAAACUUAAAGGANNNNNGGGGGAGCAC
rnacentral:rRNA from 1 species